rnacentral:misc_RNA from 1 species
GGGCAUGCGAAUCUACCUAGAUCAGGAAUUGGCAAUUCACAUUAAAAUCCUGCAUUUGAAGUAUAUCUAACGGUUAAAUUGCAAAACCAGGACCACAAUUUGCUAAUAACAGUACAUUGUCGAAUCCUACAACAGCAUCAACACAAAUUGGAAGAGAGAUUGGGCCCAGGGAGAUGAACCAAACUGUAGCCCCUGGCAAGUGAACCUUAGGUUGAAGCAACACAAGAUAUCCACGGAUGGCCUCCACAGAUCAUCAUAUGUAAUAUGUCAACACUAUUGCUGUUGAUUUUGCUGUUGGUUCUGUGGGUUGGGCGGAGGCGGCAUGCCAGGACGAGGUGGUCCGUAAACAGGAACAGCGCCACCGGGCGGAGGAGGCAUCCCAGGUCGAGGAGGGGGAGCUGGCAUUCCAGGUCUGGGGGGUGGUGGUGGUCCCCUCAUCACCUGCCCGGUUGGCGGAGGUCCCAUAGGUCUCUGCGCAAAUUGAGGAGGAACCGGGAAAGGUUGUGGCGGGGCUCCCCCUGGUCUCGCUGCAGAGAAUUGUGGUGGAGGCACCGGUGGAGGCAUACCUCUCCCGACCGGAGGUGGAGCUUGCCCUGGAAACAUCGGCAUCUGACCAGGUGGACGGAUAACGGGGGCAGCCGGAUAUGUCAUCGGCGGAGCGGAUAGCUGAGGUACUGGCGGGCGAGAUAUUUGAGGCUGCAUCAUCCCCGGAGCAGGUCCACCCACUCCGCGAACUGGCCCAGCAAGACCAGGCUGCGCCUGAACCAACGGAGCAGUCGGGAUACCCCUACCAGCGGCACGUCCAAUACCAGGCCCAGCCAUAGCCGCAGCAUUGACAGCCUUAGCACGGGACUCUUCAGCAGGCGGUGGACCCUCAACUGUCAUGGAAAUGACCUCUUCGCCGCGGAGAAGAACGAGGCCAAGGGUACGACGCUCGUCACGUUCCUCAUUAGUCUUUUUACCCUUCGCCGGAGGAAGCUUACGGAACUCCUCGCAGUCGCCGAGGACGAGGUUCAUGUGGCGGUCGAAUGCCAUAAAC